ACCAGGCUCAGCUCUCUGUGCCUCCAGGCCUGUGCACAGCCGGGAAUGCGCUGAGCCGUCCAAUGGCCGACUUCUCUCUGCGGGGCCAGCUCCGUCCAGCGUCCUGUCACCCCAGCGAGCUAUCCUCUAGCUUCCCAGCACCCAGCAGAGGGCUGGGUGGAAGCUCACCACCCACCUUCCUGGCCAGGGCACCCUGUCCUUGGGACGCAGGGGACACCUGGGGUAGCCUGUGGCCUCUCUCGGAGACAUUCUGCCUCGGGGCCCCUGAUCGCUGGCCAUGCUUUCUUCCCACCCAGGCCUCGCCCACCAGGGCCCUGCAUCAGCAGCAUCAGAGUCGCUACAGGCCCUGCUUCUGGCCCGAACCUCUACUCCUCCAUCUGUAGAAUGGGGUAACGGUCGCCGUCCGGAGACUGCGGUGGGCCUCAGGCUGCAGGAGAGCAGGCUGUGUGUCACCGAGUUCGCGACCAGCACUUCCUCUCGCUUGUCCACGAGAAACGUUAGGUGACAGCCCAGAACAAAAGCUGCACGCAGCCAGCGGAGCAGACUCAGACACCAGCCACCAGCCGGGGCCACACCGCCCUCGCCUGUCGCAACUUCCUACGGUUUCCAAUAAGCCGCAGG